GAUGAACGCUAGCGGCAGGCCUAACACAUGCAAGUCGAGGGGCAGCACAGAAACAGCAAUGUUUUGGUGGCGACCGGCGGACGGGUGCGUAACGCGUAUGCAACCUACCUUUAACAGGGGGAUAACGGAGAGAAAUUUCCACUAAUACCCCAUAACAUCGAUCAAGGCAUCUUGAUUGGUUGAAAACUCCGGUGGUUAAAGAUGGGCAUGCGUUGGAUUAGGUAGUUGGUGAGGUAAUGGCUCACCAAGCCUACGAUACAUAGGGGGACUGAGAGGUUAGCCCCCCACACUGGUACUGAGACACGGCCCAGACUCCUACGGGAGGCAGCAGUGAGUAAUAUUGGUCAAUGGGGGCAACCCUGAGCCAGCCAUGCCGCGUGCAGGAAGACGGCUCUAUGAGUUGUAAACUGCUUUUAAACAGGGAUAAAGCACAGUAUGUAUACUGUGUUGAAGGUACUGUAAGAAUAAGGAUCGGCUAACUCCGUGCCAGCCGCCGCCGUAA
rnacentral:rRNA from 1 species